rnacentral:rRNA from 1 species
UACAGAGGAUGCAAGCGUUAUCCGGAAUGAUUGGGCGUAAAGCGUCUGUAGGUGGCUUUUUAAGUCCGCCGUCAAAUCCCAGGGCUCAACUCUGGACAGGCGGUGGAAACUACCAAGCUGGAGUACGGUAGGGGCAGAUGGAAUUCCCGGUGUAGCGGUGGAAUGCGUAGAGAUCGGGAAGAACAUCGGUGGCGAAGGCGGCCUGCUGGGCAGUGGCUGACACUGAUGCGCGACAGCGUGGGGAGCAAACAGG